CAAGAUGCACAGAUCUGUACAAACGUGAGUCUAGCAUGUGGCUGGUGUCAUGAUGCCAGCAACACAGGUUUAGACAAGUGUAUUUGUGGGACGGCAUAUGACAUUGUAUUCAAGGACAAUAGCACAUUAAAAUACCAAGCAGAUAGAUGGUGAUUUUAUGAAAUGUCCAUGACCUCUUUUCUUGAUGGAAAGAUUUAAGAUGUAUUGCCUGCCAGCAUCCGGGAAUCGUUAAAUGGAAAUUAGGAAACAGAGUGUUGAUGUCUGGACUAUUCUUCUGUUGUGAAGUUUAAGAUAUAAUACUUUUAUAAAAAAAGACUUACCUAUACAGAUCAAUUGAGAGACACAAACUUCUGGGAGGACAGUGAAUUGGCAUUUGUUUUUCUCAACAUGAAAAUGGAAUGAGACAUUCUAUUGGACUAAUUGAUGACACUUUAAACUGGAGGGAUCCAGAAAUCUACAACAAUGAGAAAUUCAUCAAUAGAAGUUCAGUGAUAAACUCCAGUAGCAAGUGUUCAAGGAAUUCAGAAACAAUAAUUUAGUGUUCCAACUCCAGUGAUAAACUCCAGUAGCAGGUGUUCAAGGAGUUCAGAAUCAAUAAUAUAGUGUUCCAACUCCAGUGAUAAACUCCAGUAGCAGGUGUUCAAGGAGUUCAGAAUCAGUAAUAUAGUGUUCCAACUCCAGUGAUAAACUCCAGUAACAGGUGUUCAAGGAAUUCAGAAUCAGUUAUAUCAUAGUGUUCCAACUCCAGUGAUAAACUCCAGUAGCAGGUGUUCAAGGAAUUCAGAAUCAGUUAUAUCAUAGUGUUCCAACUCCAGUGAUAAACUCCAGUAACAGGUGUUCAAGGAAUUCAGAAUCAGUUAUAUCAUAGUGUUCCAACUCCAGUGAUAAACUCCAGUAACAGGUGUUCAAGGAAUUCAGAAUCAGUUAUAUCAUAGUGAUCCAACUCCAGUGAUAAACUCCAGUAACAGGUGUUCAAGGAAUUCAGAAUCAGUUAUAUCAUAGUGAUCCAACUCCAGUGAUAAACUCCAGUAACAGGUGUUCAAGGAAUUCAGAAUCAGUUAUUCCCUGCGGUCUGGAGACCGCAGGGUAUUGGUACGCGUGUAACUUUUGAGGCACGGAGGAGCACGUGACCUGUUUUCGGUACAUGGAGGAGCAUGUGAUCGGUAAACCGUAUAUGAUUGGUUAAUUGACCUUUUCUAAAACCCAGCUAAAUACCGUUUGCCGGUACGUUACGGAUUUACCUCUAGGGAAUGUAGUUCGAAUUACACCUAAUUAAGA